UCCCUGGCAUGAUGGAGGGGACCUAUGGAU
rnacentral:piRNA from 1 species